rnacentral:rRNA from 1 species
AACGAACGCUGGCGGCAGGCUUAACACAUGCAAGUCGAGCGCCCCGCAAGGGGAGCGGCAGACGGGUGAGUAACGCGUGGGAAUCUACCCAUCUCUACGGAAUAACGCAUGGAAACGUGUGCUAAUACCGUAUACGUCCUUCGGGAGAAAGAUUUAUCGGAGAUGGAUGAGCCCGCGUUGGAUUAGCUAGUUGGUGGGGUAAAGGCCUACCAAGGCGACGAUCCAUAGCUGGUCUGAGAGGAUGAUCAGCCACACUGGGACUGAGGCACGGCCCAGACUCAUACGGGAGGCAGCAGUGGGGAAUAUUGGACAAUGGGCGCAAGCCUGAUCCAGCCAUGCCGCGUGAGUGGUGAAGGCCCUAGGGUUGUAAAGCUCUUUCACCGGUGAAGAUAGUGACGGUAACCGGAGAAGAAGCCCCGGCUAACUUCGUGCCAGCCGCCGCCGUAAAAC